rnacentral:rRNA from 1 species
UAGUCCACGCCGUAAACGAUGGUCACUAGCUGUUUGACAUUUAUGUUAAGUGGCUAAGCGAAAGUGAUAAGUGACCCACCUGGGGAGUACGUUCGCAAGAAUGAAACUCAAAGGAAUUGACGGGGGCCCGCACAAGCGGUGGAGCAUGUGAUUUAAUUCGAUGAUACGCGAGGAACCUUACCAGGGCUUAAAUGUAGUGGGACAGCUUUAGAGAUAGAGCCUUCUUCGGACUCAUUACAAGGUGCUGCAUGGUUGUCGUCAGCUCGUGCCGUGAGGUGUCAGGUUAAGUCCUAUAACGAGCGCAACCCCUGUUGUUAGUUGCCAACGAGUAAUGUCGGGAACUCUAGCAAGACUGCCGGUGCAAACCGCGAGGAAGGUGGGGAUGACGUCAAAUCAUCACGGGCCCUUACGUCCUGGGGCCACACACGUGCUACAAUGGCCGGUACAAUGGGUUGCCAAAUCGCAAGAUGGAGCCAAUCCCCC